UGGGGAAUCUUGCACAAUGGGGGCAACCCCGAUGCAGCGACGCCGCGUGAGCGAUGAAGCCCUUCGGGGCGUAAAGCUCUUUCGACCGGAACGAUAAUGACGGUACCGGGAGAAGAAGCUGCGGCUAACUAAGUGCCAGCAGCCGCGGUAAUACGUAGGCAGCAAGCGUUGUUCGGAGUUACUGGGCGUAAAGAGCGCGUAGGCGGUUUUCUAAGUUCGGUGUGAAAUCUCCCGGCUUAACUGGGAGGGUGCGCCGAAGACUGGGAAGCUGGAGUGUGGGAAAGGCAGGCGGAAUUCCUGGUGUAGCGGUGAAAUGCGUAGAUAUCAGGAGGAACACCGGCGGUGUAGACGGCUUGCUAGACCAUAACUGACGCUGAGGCACGAAAGCGUGGGUAGCAAACA
rnacentral:rRNA from 1 species